rnacentral:lncRNA from 1 species
AUGUUUUUAUCACACACACACACAAGCACACGCACACGGACACACACACACACACACACACGAAAUAUGGUUCCAUUUGGGACGCAGGGACAGUCAGUCAGAUACAGUUUUCAGAUACAGUCAGUCAGACACAGUCAGUCAGAUACAGUUUUCAGACACAGUCAGUCAGAUACAGUUUUCAGACACAGUCAGUCAGUCAGACACAAUCAGUCAGAUACAGUUUUCAGACACAGUCAGUCAGACACAGUCAGUCAGUCAUACAGUUUUCAGACACAGCCAGUCAGUCAGACACAGUCAGUCAAACACAGUCAGAUACAGUUUUCAGACAGUCAGUCAGACACAGUCAGUCAGAUACAGUUUUCAGACACAGUCAGUCAGAUACAGUUUUCAGACACAGUCAGUCAGUCAGACACAGUCAGUCAGAUACAGUUUUCAGACACAGUCAGUCAGACACAGUCAGUCAGUCAUACAGUUUUCAGACACAGCCAGUCAGUCAGACACAGUCAGUCAAACACAGUCAGAUGCAGUUUUCAGACACAGUCAGUCAGAUACGGUCAGUCAGACACAGUCAGUCAGACACAGUCAGUCAGAUACAGUCAGUCAGACACAGUCAGUCAGACACAGUCAGUCAGAUACAGUCAGUCAGACACAGCCAGUCAGAUACGGUCAGUCAGACACAGUCAGUCAGACACAGUCAGUCAGAUACAGUUUUCAGACACAGUCAGUCAGAUACAGUUUUCAGACACAGUCAGUCAGACACAGUCAGUCAGUCAUACAGUUUUCAGACACAGCCAGUCAGUCAGACACAGUCAGUCAAACACAGUCAGAUGCAGUUUUCAGACACAGUCAGUCAGAUACGGUCAGUCAGACACAGUCAGUCAGACACAGUCAGUCAGAUACAGUCAGUCAGACACAGUCAGUCAGACACAGUCAGUCAGAUACAGUCAGUCAGACACAGCCAGUCAGAUACGGUCAGUCAGACACAGUCAGUCAGACACAGUCAGUCAGAUACAGUUUUCAGACACAGUCAGUCAAACACAGCAUGGAAAUAGGAUAUACAUAAGAGCGACAGGGAGAGAAGGUUAA